rnacentral:tRNA from 1 species
AGCCUUGACUAGGUCGGACUGCAAAUCCGGCGAAGCACAAUAGUGUGCCGGGGCUU